rnacentral:rRNA from 1 species
AGAGCGAACGCUGGCGGCAGGCCUAACACAUGCAAGUCGAGCGCCGUAGCAAUACGGAGCGGCAGACGGGAGAGUAACACGUGGGAACGUGCCCUUUGGUUCGGAACAACACAGGGAAACUUGUGCUAAUACCGGAUAAGCCCUUACGGGGAAAGAUUUAUCGCCAAAGGAUCGGCCCGCGUCUGAUUAGCUAGUUGGUGAGGUAACGGCUCACCAAGGCGACGAUCAGUAGCUGGUCUGAGAGGAUGAUCAGCCUCACUGGGACUGAGACACGGCCCAGACUCCUACGGGAGGCAGCAGUGGGGAAUAUUGGACAAUGGGCGCAAGCCUGAUCCAGCCAUGCCGCGUGGAUGAUGAAGGCCCUAGGGUUGUAAAGUCCUUUCGGCGGGGAAGAUAAUGACGGUACCCGCAGAAGAAGCCCCGGCUAACUUCGUGCCAGCAGCCGC